UACGUAGGGGGGCUAGCGUUGUCCGGAAUCAUUGGGCGUAAAGAGCGUGUAGGCGGUCCGGUAAGUCCGCUGUGAAAGUCGGGGGCUCAACCCUCGAAUGCCGGUGGAUACUGUCGGGCUAGAGUGCGGAAGAGGCGAGUGGAAUUCCUGGUGUAGCGGUGAAAUGCGCAGAUAUCAGGAGGAACACCUAUUGCGAAGGCAGCUCGCUGGGACGCAACUGACGCUGAGACGCGAAAGCGUGGGGAGCAAACAGG
rnacentral:rRNA from 1 species